rnacentral:rRNA from 1 species
AGCGAACGCUGGCGGCAGGCCUAACACAUGCAAGUCGAACGAACCUUUCGGGGUUAGUGGCGGACGGGUGAGUAACACGUGGGAACGUGCCUUUAGGUUCGGAAUAACUCAGGGAAACUUGUGCUAAUACCGAAUGUGCCCUUCGGGGGAAAGAUUUAUCGCCUUUAGAGCGGCCCGCGUCUGAUUAGCUAGUUGGUUGAGGUAAUGGCUCACCAAGGCGACGAUCAGUAGCUGGUCUGAGAGGAUGAUCAGCCACAUUGGGACUGAGACACGGCCCAAACUCCUACGGGAGGCAGCAGUGGGGAAUCUUGCGCAAUGGGCGAAAGCCUGACGCAGCCAUGCCGCGUGAAUGUUGAAGGUCUUAGGAUUGUAAAAUUCUUUCACCGGGGACGAUAAUGACGGUACCCGGAGAAGAAGCCCCGGCUAACUUCGUG